ensembl:rRNA 5S_rRNA 5S ribosomal RNA
GCUUACGGCCACACCGCCUGGUUCACGCCCGAUCUCGUUUGAUCUCGGAAGCUAAAACAGGGUGGGCCUGGUUAGUACUUGGAUGGGAGACCGCCUGGGAAUACCAGGUGUUGUAAGAU